CCCAGACUCCUACGGGAGGCAGCAGUCGGGAAUAUUGCGCAAUGGAGGAAACUCUGACGCAGUGACGCCGCGUGCAGGAAGAAGGUUUUCGGAUUGUAAACUGCUUUAGACAGGGAAGAAAAAAGACAGUACCUGUAGAAUAAGCUCCGGCUAACUACGUGCCAGCAGCCGCGGUAAUGCGUAGGGAGCAAGCGUUAUCCGGAUUUAUUGGGUGUAAAGGGUGCGUAGACGGAGAAGCAAGUUAGUUGUGAAAUCCCGCGGCUUAACUGAGGAACUGCAACUAAAACUGCUGGCCUUGAGUGCUGGAGAGGAAAGUGGAAUUCGUGGUGUAGCGGUGAAAUGCGUAGAUAUUAGGAGGAACGCCAGUGGCGAAGGCGGCUUACUGGACAGUAACUGACGUUGAGGCACGAAAGUGUGGGGAGCGAACAGGAUUAGAUACCCCCGUAA
rnacentral:rRNA from 1 species